UCUCCCGUGUUCUUCUCUUUUCCCUGUUGCUUAGCGAUCCCAUACACCCAUUCUCUUUGCUUCCAGUUCCUGGCAUCUUGGACAACAAUGACGGCGAUCGCAGUCCAACACUUCGCUCACUGUAUCACUUGCCAUGCUUGGAGCCCUGACAAAUCCAUGGUUGCAUUUUGUCCCAAUAAUAAUGAAGUGCACAUCUACAAAUUGUUUGAAGACAAAUGGGAAAAAGUGCAUACACUUCAGAAGCACGACCAAAUAGUUUCUGGGAUAGACUGGAGUACAAGAACAAACAGAAUAGUGACUGCAUCCCAUGAUCGGAAUUCAUAUGUUUGGAACCUUGAAGGAUCAGAAUGGGUGCCAACUCUAGUUAUCCUCAGGCUCAACCGUGCUGCUCUCUGUGUUCAGUGGAGUCCAAAAGAAAACAAGUUUGCAGUCGGUAGUGGGGCCAAAACUGUUUGUGUAUGCUACUAUGAACAGGAGAACAACUGGUGGGUCAGUAAACUAAUACGGAAAAAACAUGACUCUUCAGUGACAAGCGUUUCUUGGCAUCCCAAUAAUAUUCUGCUUGCAACAACAUCUACGGAUGGAAAAUGCCGAGUAUUCUCCACCUUAAUAAAAGGUGUAGAUGCAAAGGAAUCAAAAGGGGGCACUUCAUCCGAUGCGAAGUUUGGAGAGUUAAUAAUCCAGCUUGAUCUAUCAUUAUCAUGGGCAUUUGGCGUCAAGUGGUCACCAAGUGGCAAUACAUUGGCUUAUGUAGGUCAUAAUUCUAUGAUAUAUUUUGUUGAUGAUGUUGGCCCUUCUCCUUUGGCCCAAAAUGUUGCCUUCCGUGAUUUGCCACUCCGUGAUGUAUUAUUUGUUUCUGAAAGAAUGGUAAUUGGCGUGGGCUUCGAUUGUACUCCAAUGAUCUUUGCUGCUGACGAUAGAGGAAUAUGGAGUUUCGUAAGAUAUCUUGGAGAAAGCAAAGCAAUAUCAUCUGGAUCAAAAUAUGGAUCGCAGUUCUCUGAAGCAUUUGGGAAAUUUUAUGGCCAAUCCAAGCAUGGAAUGAACAACGACUCAGUUGAGAGUUCAAAAAUACGUGGAGGCGUUCAUGAGAACUGUAUAAAUUGUAUCAUGCCUCUUGGAGAGCGUGGAACAUUGGUCAGGCGUUUCAGCACAUCAGGUUUGGAUGGAAGAGUGGUGAUUUGGGAUUUGGAGGACCAGCAGGAUCUAUUAGACUACGUGUAAGCUUAUGAAGGUUGAAUGGACAAGUGUUACAUUGUGUAUGAAGUUGUCUGAGAUCAAUCAAACCUUUCUCUAACCAAAAGGCUUUUUAGCAGAAACUUCGGUCCUCUGAUUUUUGCUUAUGAAUCUGGUCUUAUGUAGUAAGAUGUUUUAUUUUCAUUUUUCCUUUGGGUUUGUUGUAUUCUAUAUGGUGAGUAACUAGGAAGAAGAAUGUACCUAUUGAUAUUCUGCGCAAGAAACUUGGGUAUCAUAUUCAUUUCUUGACAGUAAUGAACACCAGCACAAAGUUUUAAGAUGUCAUGUUAUCUAAACAGUAGUAGGAAAUCUCCAACAAUGACAUUCUUUCUUCAAGUUUGAAUUUACUUUUGAA